AUUGAACGCUGGCGGCAGGCCUAACUCAUGCAAGUCGAGCGGAGCGGCGGACGGGUGGGUAAUGCCUAGGAGUCUGCCUGGUAGUGGGGGAGAACGUCCGGAAACGGACGCUACUACCGCAUACUAUCACCUGCACCUAUGUCGGGUUAGCUAGUGGGUGGGGUAAAGGCCUACCAAGGCGACGAUCCGUAACUGGUCUGAGAGGAUGAUCAGUCAAACGGGAACUGAGACACGGUCCAGACUCCUACGGGAGGCAGCAGUGGGGAAUAUUGGACAAUGGGCGAAAGCCUGAUCCAGCCAUGCCGCGUGUGUGAAGAAGGUCUUCGGAUUGUAAAGCACUUUAAGUUGGGAGGCGUUACCAACAGAAUAAGCACCGGCUAACUUCGUGCCAGCAGCCGCGGUAAUUC
rnacentral:rRNA from 1 species